UAAACGACUCUCGGCAACGGAUAUCUCGGCUCACGCAUCGAUGAAGAACGUAGCAAAAUGCGAUACUUGGUGUGAAUUGCAGAAUCCCGUGAACCAUCGAGUUUUUGAACGCAAGUUGCGCCCAAAGCCUUUUGGCUGAGGGCACGUCGCCUGGGCGUCACAU
rnacentral:rRNA from 1 species